GACGUAGGGGCCGAGCGUUGUCCGGAGUUACUGGGCGUAAAGGGCGCGCAGGCGGACGCGUGCAUCGGUGGUGAAAGCCCCCCGCUCAACGGGGGAGGGUCUGCCGAGAUGGCGCGUCUGGAGGCAGGGAGAGGCCGGUGGAAUUCCGGGUGUAGUGGUGAAAUGCGUAGAGAUCCGGAGGAACACCAGUGGCGAAGGCGGCCGGCUGGACCUGACCUGACGCUGAGGCGCGAAGGCGUGGGGAGCGAAC
rnacentral:rRNA from 1 species